AACGUAGGAGGCGAGCGUUAUCCGGAGUUACUGGGCGUAAAGAGCGUGUAGGCGGGUAGGCAAGUUUGGCGUGAAAGCUCCCGGCUAAACUGGGAGAGUGCGCUGAAGACUGCGUAUCUAGAGGCGAGUAGAGGGACGUGGAAUUCCGGGUGUAGUGGUGAAAUGCGUAGAGAUCCGGAGGAACACCAGUGGCGAAGGCGACGUCCUGGGCUUGACCUGACGCUGAGACGCGACAGCACGGGGAGCGAACGGGAUUAGAAACCGGGUAGUCC
rnacentral:rRNA from 1 species